rnacentral:rRNA from 1 species
CUGGCGGCAGGCUUAAUACAUGCAUGUCGAGCGCCCGUAGCAAUACGGGAGCGGCAGACGGGUGAGUAACGCGUGGGAACGUACCCUUUGGUUCGGAACAACACAGGGAAACUUGUGCUAAUACCGGAUAAGCCCUUACGGGGAAAGAUUUAUCGCCGAAGGAUCGGCCCGCGUCUGAUUAGCUAGUUGGUGAGGUAACGGCUCACCAAGGCGACGAUCAGUAGCUGGUCUGAGAGGAUGAUCAGCCACACUGGGACUGAGACACGGCCCAGACUCCUACGGGAGGCAGCAGUAGGGAAUAUUGGACAAUGGGGGCAACCCUGAUCCAGCCAUGCCCGUGAGUGAUGAAGGCCUUAGGGUUGUAAAGCUCUUUUGUGCGGGAAGAUAAUGACGGUACCGCAAGAAUAAGCCCCGGCUAACUUCGUGCCAGCAGCCGCGGUAAUACGAAGGGGGCUAGCGUUGCUCGGAAUCACUGGGCGUAAAGCGCACGUAGGCGGACUCUUAAGUCGGGGGUGAAAUCCUGGAGCUCAACUCCAGAACUGCCUUCGAUACUGGGAGUCUUGAGUUCGGGAGAGGUGAGUGGAACUGCGAGUGUAGAGGUGAAAUUCGUAGAUA